rnacentral:rRNA from 1 species
UACGAAGGGUGCAAACGUUGCUCGGAAUUAUUGGGCGUAAAGCGCACGUAGGCGGCUUGGCAAGUCGGAUGUGAAAUCCCUCGGCUCAACCAAGGAAGUGCAUCCGAAACUGCUGAGCUUGAGUACUUAAGAGGAUCGCGGAAUUCCCGGUGUAGAGGUGAAAUUCGUAGAUAUUGGGAAGAACACCAGUGGCGAAGGCGGCUCACUGGCCCGUAACUGACGCUGAGGUGCGAAAGCGUGGGAGCAACAGG